GACAGCAGUCGCCGCGGUAAUACGUAGGUGGCAAGCGUUGUCCGGAGUUAUUGGGCGUAAAGGGCUCGCAGGCGGUUUCUUAAGUCUGAUGUGAAAGCCCCCGGCUCAACCGGGGAGGGUCAUUGGAAACUGGGAAACUUGAGUGCAGAAGAGGAGAGUGGAAUUCCACGUGUAGCGGUGAAAUGCGUAGAAAUGUGGAGGAACACCAGUGGCGAAGGCGACUCUCUGGUCUGUGACUGACGCUGAGGAGCGAAAGCGUGGGGAGCAAACAGGAUUAGAUACCCCUGUAGUCCCUGUCUCUUAUAC
rnacentral:rRNA from 1 species